UACGUAGGGGGCAAGCGUUGUCCGGAUUUAUUGGGCGUAAAGAGCGUGUAGGCGGCCAAGUAAGUCUGCUGUGAAAACUCGAGGCUUAACCUCGAGCUGUCGGCGGAAACUAUUUGGCUAGAGUCCGGAAGAGGAGAAUGGAAUUCCCGGUGUAGCGGUGAAAUGCGCAGAUAUCGGGAAGAACACCCGUGGCGAAGGCGGCUCUCUGGGACGGUACUGACGCUGAGACGCGAAAAGCGUGGGGAGCGAACAGG
rnacentral:rRNA from 1 species